AGGCAAUCGCGUUCACCGCACGGUGAAUGAGGAAAGUCCGAGCUCCGCAGGGCAGUGUGCUGGAUAACGUCCAGCGAGGGUGACCUUAGGGACAGUGCCAUAGAAAUUUAAACCGCCGGCUAUGCCGGUAAGGGUGGAAAGGUGCGGUAAGAGCGCACCAGCAGUCGAGUGAUCGGCUGGCUUUGGUAAACCCCACAUGGAGCAAGACCAAAUAGGGAAGGAUUGAGGCGGCCCGCCGGCCUUCCGGGUAGUGUCGCUUGAGCCGGCAGGCAACCGUCGGCCCAGAUAAAUGAUUGUCACCGCCGCAAGGCGGAACAGAACUCGGCUUAUUGGUUUUCUCG
rnacentral:RNase_P_RNA from 1 species